rnacentral:rRNA from 1 species
UACGUAGGGUGCAAGCGUUAAUCGGAAUUACUGGGCGUAAAGCGUGCGCAGGCGGUUAUGUAAGACAGGUGUGAAAUCCCCCGGGCUUAACCUGGGAACUGCAUUUUGUGACUGCAUAGCUAGAGUACGGUAGAGGGGGGAUGGAAUUCCGCGUGUAGCAGUGAAAAUGCGUAGAGAUCAGGAGGAAUACCGAUGGCGAAGGCAGGUCUCUGGGCUGAUACUGACGCUCAUGCACGAAAGCGUGGGGAGCAAACAGG